GAUGAACGCUGGCGGCGUGCCUAAUACAUGCAAGUCGAGCGAAUGGAUUAAGAGCUUGCUCUUAUGAAGUUAGCGGCGGACGGGUGAGUAACACGUGGGUAACCUGCCCAUAAGACUGGGAUAACUCCGGGAAACCGGGGCUAAUACCGGAUAACAUUUUGAACCGCAUGGUUCGAAAUUGAAAGGCGGCUUCGGUUGCCACUUAGGGAUGAACCCGGGCCGCAUUAGCUAGUGGGGGGGGAAAGGGCCCACCAAGGCAACGAUGCGUAGCCGACCUGAGAGGGUGAUCGGCCACACUGGGACUGAGACACGGCCCAGACUCCUACGGGAGGCAGCAGUAGGGAAUCUUCCGCAAUGGACGAAAGUCUGACGGAGCAACGCCGCGUGAGUGAUGAAGGCUUUCGGGUCGUAAAACUCUGUUGUUAGGGAAGAACAAGUGCUAGUUGAAUAAGCUGGCACCUUGACGGUACCUAACCAGAAAGCCACGGCUAACUACGUGCCAGCCGCCGCAGAA
rnacentral:rRNA from 1 species